rnacentral:rRNA from 1 species
GUAGGUGGCAAGCGUUGUCCGGAUUUAUUGGGCGUAAAGCGAACGCAGGCGGGAAGAUAAGUCAGCUGUGAAAGCCCCCAGCUUAACUGGGGAACUGCAGCUGAAACUAUGUUUCUUGAGUGCAGAAGAGGAGAGUGGAACUCCAUGUGUAGCGGUGGAAUGCGUAGAUAUAUGGAAGAACACCAGUGGCGAAGGCGGCUCUCUGGUCUGUAACUGACGCUGAGGUUCGAAAGCAUGGGUAGCGAACAGGAUUAGAUACCCUGGUAGUCCAUGCCGUAAACGAUGAGUGCUAAGUGUUGGGAGGUUUCAGCCUCUCAGUGCUGCAGCUAACGCAUUAAGCACUCCGCCUGGGGAGUACGACCGCAAGGUUA